GAACGGUAACAGGAAGCAGCUUGCUGCUUUGCUGACGAGUGGCGGACGGGUGAGUAAUGUCUGGGAAACUGCCUGGUGGAGGGGGAUAACUACUGGAAACGGUAGCUAAUACCGCAUAACGUCGCAAGACCAAAGAGGGGGACCUUCGGGCCUCUUGCCAUCGGAUGUGCCCAGAUGGGAUUAGCUAGUAGGUGGGGUAACGGCUCACCUAGGCGGCGAUCCCUAGCUGGUCUGAGAGGAUGACCAGCCACACUGGAACUGAGACACGGUCCAGACUCCUACGGGAGGCAGCAGUGGGGAAUAUUGCACAAUGGGCGCAAGCCUGAUGCAGCCAUGCCGCGUGUAUGAAGAAGGCCUUCGGGUUGUAAAGUACUUUCAGCGGGGAGGAAGGGAGUAAAGUUAAUACCUUUGCUCAUUGACGUUACCCGCAGAAGAAGCACCGGCUAACUCCGUGCCAGCAGCCGCGGUAAUACGGAGGGUGCAAGCGUUAAUCGGAAUUACUGGGCGUAAAGCGCACGCAGGCGGUUUGUUAAGUCAGAUGUGAAAUCCCCGGGCUCAACCUGGGAACUGCAUCUGAUACUGGCAAGCUUGAGUCUCGUAGAGGGGGGUAGAAUUCCAGGUGUAGCGGUGAAAUGCGUAGAGAUCUGGAGGAAUACCGGU
rnacentral:rRNA from 1 species